rnacentral:rRNA from 2 species
GGGAUUGCCUCAGUAACGGCGAGUGAAGCGGCAACAGCUCAAAUUUGAAAUCUGGGGCCUUUCGGCUUCCGAGUUGUAAUUUGCAGAGGGCGCCUCGGAGGGCGAGCCGGUCCAAGUGCCUUGGAACAGGAUACCGCAGAGGGUGAGAGUCCCGUAUCCGGCCGGCGUCGUGCUCUGUGUGAGGCCCCUUCGACGAGUCGAGUUGUUUGGGAAUGCAGCUCCAAGCGGGUGGUAAAUUCCAUCUAAAGCUAAAUACUGGCCAGAGACCGAUAGCGAACAAGUAGAGUGAUCGAAAGAUGAAAAGCACUUUGAAAAGAGAGUCAAACAGUACGUGAAAUUGUUGAAAGGGAAGCGCAUGGGGGCAGACUUGGUCGCGGGGUUCAGGGAGUCAUUGUGGCGCCUGUAGUUCCCCGCGGACAGGCCAGCAUCGGUUUCGUGGGCCGGACAAAGGCGCAGGGAAAGUGGCAGCCUUCGGGGUGUGUUAUAGCCCGGCGCGCAAUGCGGCCACGUGGGACCGAGGACCGCGCUUCGGCAAGGAUGCUGGCGUAAUGGCCUCAUGCGGCCCGUCUUGAAACACGGACCAAGGAGUCUAACAUCUAUGCGAGUGUUUGGGUGACAAGCCCGGGCGCGCAAUGAAAGUGAACGGAGGUGGGAGCCCUUUGCGGGGUGCAGCAUCGACCGAUCCGGAGGUGUUCUGAAGGAUUUGAGUAAGAGCAUAGAUGUUGGGACCCGAAAGAUGGUGAACUAUGCGUGAAUAGGGUGAAGCCAGAGGAAACUCUGGUGGAGGCUCGCAGCGG